AUGAAAGUGAAAGAAGUUUUAUCAGAUGACUAUCUAGAAGAGAAGAUGUUCACUCAUAUUCUACUUCUCCUUUACUUGCCACAAACAGCUCACGCUCUGAAACUGAUUGCUCCAAUAUCUUAUCGAGCCGUGAUGGGGGAAGAUGUGACCAUUCCCUGCUCAUUUACAAUCAAUAAACCUCCUAUUGAUCAGAAAUUUCUUUCAAUAUCCUGGUACUUUCAGGGAGCGGAAAUAUUAGGUGUUCAGAAUGGGAUUGUGAGAUCAAGAGAUCCUCGCGUGUCGUAUACAGGCCGGGCAGAAAAUGGAGUCGCUGAUCUGUCUAUCUCAGACAUCACUAUAACGUAUGGAGGGAUCUAUAGGUGCGCCAUACUGUACACCCCAAAGAAGGAAGAGAAGGAGAUCAGAUUAGAUAUACAAGCCCAACCACAGAUCACCGUUACAGACAAAUUAGUUGUUAAAAAUAAAGAGAGUUCUCUGAGCAGUGUCAUCUCUGGAUUCUAUCCGGUGGACAUUGACAUUAAAUGGCUUCGGGAUGGAGAGAUACUGAAUAAUGUCCUGGUGGGGAACCCUCAGAGAGACCCUAAUGGGACUUACAGUGUGAACAGCUCAGUAACAAUAACACCCACUGAGGAGGAAAGAGAGUGGGUCUUCUCCUGUAGAGUCCAACACGAGUCUCUUACUGCACCUCUCCAGGAGGACUUCCAGCUGGUGUAUGGAGAUAUCCCAUCCGUUAACAUCACUUCCCAAGCAUUUAAGUUGGAUGUGGAGCAGAGUGUGGUGUGCAGUGUUUAUGGGUUUUACCCAGAAUCCAUCACUGUAAACUGGUUCUUGAAUGACACCCUGUUGGAGAAUGCCAAGACUCGGAGGAUCAGCGGCUCAGCUGUGGAAUCUGUCUAUCACUUCAUCCCCACAGAGCAGAACUGGGGCAUGGAGCUGAGAUGUGUAGUGGAUCAUGCAACCCUCACCACCCCACAUGUGGAGAGACUGCUGGUACAAGGCAUUGGUCUUCCAAAGGUGAGAAGUAUAACUCGCUCCUUAGGGGCCACGUUCAGCUUAGAUGUGAAUCAUUUCUAUCCGGAAGCUAUUACAGUAUCUUGGGAGGUGAUCCAGCCACCGUCAAUCACACAGUCCCGUUCUAUAGACUCUACAAUUAUGAUGCAUCAGAACCAGGAUGGGACCUUCAAUGCCACCAGCACUUGUGAUAGCCUCAGAGGGAUGAUCCGGGAGGAUGAGCCUUAUACUGUGCGUGCUUCAGUGCAACACAAUAAACUGAAACGUCUGUCACUUAGAGAAUGGAAAAAUGAUGAUAAAGAUAACAGAGUACACAAUACUCCCCCACAAAAUGUCUUCAUCAGUCUUUCUCGCCAGAAGGAUGGCGCCAUCUUUGUCCAGAUUUUCUUUUACCGCCGAAAGUAG